rnacentral:misc_RNA from 1 species
AAAUGUGAGUUCUCUGAAUGGUUACUCCCAUACGAAUUGUAGUAAACAUCGACACUUGUUUUAGAGUCCAGAAUUUUGAGAAUAAGUUUUAUGUUGUGCAUCACAUUGCAACACGUAAUAUCUGAUAUUGGACCAAUAAAAAAAAAUUAGUUGAGCGAUACUGCUGGACAAUAUAAAACAGUGCUACAUACUAUUACCACCGACAUGAGAUGUGGUUUGGAGCUUAGCCUAAACAUGACUACGCACGAUUAGAUGUUUGUUGCCUAUUUUUAAAUGUUACAGCUGUGACCACUAGCGACCAACUUCACGUGUAACAUAGCGUGGCCAGAGGUGCGAAGACUGUGUGCUGGCUGCCUGAGCUACGUUGAGUACUGCUGCGCGUGACAUACUCAGCUGAGCGUCGCAUCGUACAGCCCGCUGAUGAGCGGUGAAUUGCUUGGCCUGUGCUGCAGUGCUGGGCAGAGAAGAAUGACGGUAAUUUGACUCGGGUAAAAGUAAGAUCAAGCCCGAGGAACUCCUGAUGAAGAGGAGCAGAGCCAAGCCGAGGGGAACCAAGCUGACGAGGACGUUCAGCUGUCAGGAGAGGCCGUGUUAGAAACUUUCCCACGACCCGGCUCCUCUACUCAGUGACGUCGUGCAACGGAGCGCGGAGGGCGGGACAAUAACGCCGCGUGCGCCACGUCACAUCAUGCGGUGGCAUCGCUCUUUUUGCUUCGAGCUCGCGGCAGCGACGGACGUACUCUCUAGUGCUAAUAAGACGCGUACUUGUACUUGUGUUGUUAAAAAUUUAGUUGAUGUAAAUGAAUAAAUCUUGUAAGGUUACUCCGUGUCUUAUUCGUUUUUUUUAAAAUAAAAUUCUCUUUCACUUCUGAUUUCUAA